rnacentral:tRNA from 2 species
GGGCCGGUAGCUCAGUUGGUAGAGCAGGGGACUUUUAAUCCCAAGGUCACAGGUUCGAUUCCUGUCCGGCCUA